AAGCCCGAACCACGUUAAUUCAAAUUGGCCCGUACCCUAAACCGACACAGGUGGGAAGGUAGAGUAUACCCAGGGGCGCGAGAUAACUCUCUCUAAGGAACUCGGCAAAAUGGCCCCGUAACUUCGGGAGAAGGGGUGCCACCGAGAGGUGGUCGCAGUGAAGAGUCCCAGGCGACUGUUUACCAAAAACACAGGUCUCCGCUAAGUCGCAAGACGAUGUAUGGGGGCUGACGCCUGCCUAGUGCCGGAAGGCUAAGGAAGUUGGUCAGGGAGAAAUCCUGAAGCUAGCGACUGAAGCCCCGGUGAACGGCGGCCGUAACUAUAACGGUCCUAAGGUAGCGAAAUUCCUUGUCGGGUAAGUUCCGACCCGCACGAAAGGCGUAACGAUCUGGGAGCUGUCUCGGAGAGAGGCUCGGCGAAAUAGGAAUGUCUGUGAAGAUACGGACUACCUGCACCCGGACAGAAAGACCCUAUGAAGCUUUACUGUAGCUUGGUAUUGGGUUCGGGCUUUGAUUGCGCAGGAUAGGUGGGAGACUAUGAGAUAGCUCUUGUGGGAGUUAUGGAGUCACUGGUGAGAUACCACUCUAUCAAGGCUAGAAUUCUAAUUUUGACCCGUUAUCCGGGCAGAGAACAGUAUCAGGUGGGCAGUUUGACUGGGGCGGUCGCCUCCUAAAUGGUAACGGAGGCGCGCAAAGGUUCCCUCAGGCUGGUUGGAAAUCAGCCAUUGAGUGUAAAGGCAUAAGGGAGCUUGACUGCGAGACUGACAAGUCGAGCAGGUACGAAAGUAGGCCUUAGUGAUCCGACGGUUCCGCGUGGAAGGGCCGUCGCUCAACGGAUAAAAGUUACUCUAAGGAUAACAGGCUGAUCUCCCCCAAGAGUUCACAUCGACGGGGAGGUUUGGCACCUCGAUGUCGGCUCAUCGCAACCUGGGGCUGUAGUCGGUCCCAAGGGUUGGGCUGUUCGCCCAUUAAAGCGGUACGUGAGCUGGGUUCAGAACGUCGUGAGACAGUCCGGUCCAUAUCCGGUGCAGGCGUAGGAACAUUGAGAGGAGUCUUCCUUAGUACGAGAGGACCGGGAAGAACGCACCGCUGGUGUACCUGUUAUCGUGCCAACGGUAAACGCAGGGUAGCCAAGUGCGGAGAGGAUAACCGCUGAAAGCAUCUAAGUGGGAAGCCCACCUCAAGAUGAGUGUUCCCAUGGCAAAAGCCAGUAAGGUCACGGGUAGACCACCCGUUAAUAGGCGCUAGAUGGAAGUCCAGCAAUGGAUGUAGUCGAGGCGUACUAACAGACCGAGGGCUUGAC
rnacentral:rRNA from 1 species